AGCCUGGUUCAAUCCAUCUGAACAAACAAGAUCUGAGAGGAAUUGGCUGCCUUUUGGAUUGUGUGGCCCCCAGCAGAAUGUACUUGAUGACACUAGUACAGGAGACAAGGGGUCAGACAGGGAGGACAACACCUGCACCAGCGAAGAUGGAACCACCAGCCAGAAUCCAAGAACAGUAGAAGGGUGCUGUCUCUCAGACUCCAGCCGGCCCCAACCCUACCCUUGUACCAGGACUUGAAGCAGAAGAUGGUCCCGAUUUCUGUUUGACUUAGCCCUCAACAAAGAGUGGAAGGGCUUAAAUGUUUUUCUUGGCCCACAAGACGAUUCAAGCAUCCAGAUUUAAGUGGAUGGAAAUAGGAGCAUAUAGGAGGAAAGGAAGAAACUGAAGA